rnacentral:lncRNA from 1 species
AGGCAACUAGCACUCUCCCCUUUGAUUAAAAACAUCUUUUCUCUCUCUUAGGUCAAAAUAAUACAGAUGACUUCAGUUUGUCAGCCCAUGGACCUCUCAAAGAACUUAUUUCGCAAUGGCCUCCUGCAUUUGAUGAAGAGCAAGAAGCAGAUGAAUUUAAAUAUAUAUACAUAUUAACAGGACACACACACACACACACACACACAAAACCACGCACAAACCAAUUCCACUUGACCUCCUUUCUAAAUGAAACAGACAAAUAUGCAGGACACGCCCAUCCUGGAUUUCCUGAAAGCAGGCUCCUUUCUCCCAGGCCUUUAAAGUUCAAAAGGAGACGCGUUGGUGCCCCCUGCUGGCCAUUACUAACUCCUCGGCAGCCCAGCCAGUCAACCUCUGUGAGCUGCGAAGUCAUGGGGCACAUUAGUUUGAGAGCCCCGUUUUCUGCACUCCAUACAUCUUGAUAGCACCACAGCUACUUAGGCAAUGUAAUUGCAAAAAAGACAAACAAAAACAUGCCACGAUGACCUUGUAACCGAAGUUUGAAAUGGCAGGUCGUUUGCCCUAAAGGCUGUACCGUACAUACUUGCCUUAACCCACCUGCGUUGUGUGCCCGAGAAUCUCAGUGCAGACAUCCCUGAGUCAAUUCCUUUAGGCUAACACACUGCUAUUCAUUCCGAAUGAGUUCGAGUCUGUGUGUUUCGUGUCGAGAGACAAGACUGAAUAACUCAGCAGCUCCAGUGUGUCUGUGUAAGAAAACUGCCAGCUGUCAGCAAAGUGCAUUAUGUAACGUUGAGCCUCCCUGAUGGCCAAAAAGAGACAAGUACCAAUAACAACAACAAUAAUAGUCAUCUUUAUAAUUAUUAGGUAUGGUCUUCUGAUGGGGUUGGGGUGGGACAAAGUAAAAUUUAUUAAUCUACUAACUCAUUAAUCUAUUGGAAGCAGAAAGCAAAAAUGGCUUAACUCACUGAUUUUAUUUAUUGCACUCUAGGUGCUUUUAUAAGUAUCUACAAAUGUCUUUUACUAACACAGAAAACAGCUGUGGAUUUCUAUCAACCGAGGCCAACUGACUAUGUAUUAGCUAUGUUUACUCUUUUAUAUCUAAUUCAAACGGAAGACCUGAUGUAGGUGAACUUUCUUUUCUAACUUCGGCAUACAAGA